rfam:Treponema lecithinolyticum ATCC 700332 genomic scaffold Scaffold69, whole genome shotgun sequence.
UUUUUAUAUCGAGUUUGCGUUGCAAACUCGUCAAUUUUAUGCGCUUUCUCAACCGGUGUUUGCGAAAGCGCGGCUAAAAACUUUUUCGGAAGCGCAAGCUUCCUGCAAAAGUUUUUAUAGGG